ACAGCAGAGGACUCCGAUGCGGAGCCGCGUUCAAGUCACCACAUCCGUGUCACUGUCACAUUCCUUUGGGUUCCACUUGGUGGAUCAGGGUCGCCACCGUGCGCCGCCCCAAAUUCUACCGUCAAAACGCGGACCAUAAUCGCAUCCAUAUCUGAUUCACAAACGCGGACGCGCUGUAAAUCUAACGGACGUUGGUACAGUUUUUGUUGGGGCAGACACGACCGAACAGCGCUCUCCAUAAACAGGUGGAAUUACCUCUGGGUCGGACAGGGCUAGCCAGCUGUAAUCCACCCUGCUACGGUGAUGCCCGCCUGCCUCCCGGCUUUUACGACCAAGAAUCGGAGCGCUGAUGUGAUGUUUCCCCGUCGACUGAUGAGGCAUCGGGGAAGAAAGAGAAGGCAGCCACGACACGCGAUUGUUCAACAUGACAGUGAGACAGAAAAAUAAUGUCAAGAUAAAUAAAAAAUCAUGAUGAGUGAAGUUCUUAGUCAGGUUGUGUUUUUUUCGGGUUCUUAUUUAAACGGUGUCUAGGCCAGG